AUCCGCACCGCCCUACAAUCCUGCUUUGUGCUGAGAUUGUAGUCCUGCAGGCGUACAACUAACAAGCUGGGUGCAGAUAAGAGACUACAGCUCCCCGCAUCCCAAGCAAAGGUCCCUCCUCUACGGAGCCCCUCCACGCGUCCACUGCGGUUCCGCCGUGCCAAGGGGAGCUUGGCUGUUCACGGGCCUCACCUGCUAGCGAGAAGAUAGCUUGGCCGGGCGGCUGAUCUCACCUUGUAAUUCUGACACUGUGUCUCCCGGGCUUGUCGGCUUCAUGACUUGUGCCCAAAGUUUGAUUUCUCGCAGACCAGGAGGACCCAUUGGACCCCCGGGCUGGCUGCAGGGCCCACACCUGGGUUAGACCUCGCACAGGGACGCUGCUGCCACUGUAAUAAAGCGUGCCUACACGCUUCUGAAACUGGUGUAGGAACAACCUCAGUUCUGUGAAAGGCGGACGCAGCAGGACAGAAUCUCCGUGGACAUCUGUCUGGAGGAGCAAUUUUACUGCGACAUUUUAAAGAAACAAAUUUAAUUGAUUUCCAAGGGUGAAGUGUAACCAAAAAAAAAAAAAAAAUCCAAAGGUCAAACUCAGUUUGCAGGAAGGAGCAUAGGAGAAUAAAGGAUGGAACAAAGAAGAAAAAGAACAGCAAGUUACUCUGAGUAUUGUGGAAACAAACUGAAAUUAGAGUGAGAGAGAGAGAGAAAAAAAAAGAAGGUCCGAGCAAUCUCAGAUAUAUGAGAGGCCAAGAUGGGAAGAUCACUUGGGUAAGACUGGGAAGAUUGAGUCUGCAGUGAGUCACAGUCGCAUCAUUCUGCUGGAUUUGAAUGGUACUGCUUCUGGCCCAAGUUGUCUGGGCAACCUUAGACAUGGGUGUCCAUCGCGCUUCCUUCACUGCCUUGAUCAUGUCGGGGUCACCACCUGCGGGGGUUUGUCCUGCAGACCCUGACUCAACGACGGAUGAAUAAUGUACACUGACACAGAUCUUAUGCUUGUCAGUCCUGCUGAGCAUCCAGGCCACUUACAGACUCCAAGAAGAGUCCUGUCAGCCACGGCUCUGACUUGUUGGCCCUCCCGGCAUUUAUUUAGCACACAUUUAAUGACAGAAGUCUCAGGCUGGAAACACUCUUUUUGUAGAACAUACAAAUGGACAUUUCUAAGCACAUUGAGGCCUAUAAUGAAAAAUCAAAUAUCCCACAAUGAAAACUAGAAGGAAGCUAUCUGUGAUAAUGCUUUGUGGUGUAUGGAUUCAUCUCACUGACUGAAACCUGAGUUUUGAUUCACCAGGUUGGAAACUCUUUCUGCAGAAUCUGCAAAGAAAUAUUUCUGAGCCCAUUGAGGCCUACAGUGGAAAACUGAAUAUUCUGUGAUAAAACUAGAAACACCCUAUCUGUGAAAAUGCUUUGUGAUGUGUGGAUUUUUCUCAUCGAAUGGAACCUCUGUUUUGACUCACAAGGGUGAAACACUAUUUUAGUAGAAUCUAGGAAGAAACAUAUCUGAGCCCAUUUAUGCCUACAGUGAGAAACUGAAUACCCUGCAAUAAAAAGUAGACAGAAGCUAUUUGUAAAAAUGCUUUGUGAUGUGUGGAUUCAGUGUUAAACUUUUAUUUUGAUUCCACAGUUUUGACACCCUAUUUGUAGAAUAUAUGAAUGAACAUUUCUCAGCCCAUUGAGGCCUAUCAUGUGAAACCAAAUAUUUUAUAAUAAAAACUGGAAACAAGUGAUCUGUUAAAAUGUUUUUUAGUGUGUGAAUUUGUUUCACAAAGAUAAAUCUUUGCAUGGAUUCAACAGGUUGGAAACAUUAUUGUAGAACCUAUGAAGGGAUGUUUUUAGCC
ensembl:lncRNA LINC00662 long intergenic non-protein coding RNA 662